CCCCUUAUGGAGAAAGGAGAGAGAACAUGGGAACAUGGAAAGAAACACAACUAUCUGCAAGUAUCAUGGAAAAUAAUGAUUUAAUGAUUUUUAAAAAAGCUAUCUGGCUUCGAAACAAACCCAUUAAAAGACAGGAAGCAACUUAACACAACUAGUUCUUGUAGGUCCAAAACAGUAAAAUCUGAAUAAGCAGUUUUAAAAGUCCCAACAGACUUGUAAUGUAGUAAGAGUGAAGAAUUCCAACUGCUUGAGAUACAAAUGAGAGCUUGGACACAGGAUAUUUAGCUGCACUGAUUUAAGCAAGCUGUUUUUUCUUUGUGAUGCAACUACUGCAGGAAUCCACUGGACAAGUUCCAGAAACAACUUGGAUGUAUCAAGUGUUUAAAACUGACACAAAAACAAAAUAUCAAAGACAUCGUUCAAAACCUGGCUCACCUUCAAAUGCAAUACUUUUAAUAAAAGCUGAAUAGGCAGUGUUUUUGCAGCUCAGCUCAACCUCAUAAAAAGUAACAAGAAUGGACAAAAAUGCCAAUGAGACUGUUACCAAAAUUCACUUCUGUUGAGUGAUGUUAAAACCAACAUUUCUCAAAGAAGAGAAUAUACACAUGAAUAAACCUUUCUAA